CUCCAUUUGCAAUUAGUCAUUGUCUGUUAAACGCAAAUAGAAGUUACACAACCCAUGUAUAAAGAAAAGCUGCUGAUGAAACCUAAAGAGCAGAUGUUUUUGUAUUUUUGUAUUUUUUUUAUUAUUGGUUUCAAUUAAGUGUACAGUAGACAUCCGUGGACAAAUGUCUGCAGGUCUACAGUCUGGACUGAAUUUCGGGCACACCAGGAACUUGUACUUCUCAGUAGUAGUGCUACUGUAAAGAAAAAAAUAUAUACAAAACACAGAUUAAAAACCGUAUACACACAACAAAAUAAAACUUCCUCAUUUGAUUGUCC